CGUGGGUAACCUGCCCUUAAGUGGGGGAUAACAUUUGGAAACAGAUGCUAAUACCGCAUAGAUCCAAGAACCGCAUGGUUCUUGGCUGAAAGAUGGCGUAAGCUAUCGCUUUUGGAUGGACCCGCGGCGUAUUAGCUAGUUGGUGAGGUAAUGGCUCACCAAGGCGAUGAUACGUAGCCGAACUGAGAGGUUGAUCGGCCACAUUGGGACUGAGACACGGCCCAAACUCCUACGGGAGGCAGCAGUAGGGAAUCUUCCACAAUGGACGCAAGUCUGAUGGAGCAACGCCGCGUGAGUGAAGAAGGCUUUCGGGUCGUAAAACUCUGUUGUUGGAGAAGAAUGGUCGGCAGAGUAACUGUUGUCGGCGUGACGGUAUCCAACCAGAAAGCCACGGCUAACUACGUGCCAGCAGCCGCGGUAAUACGUAGGUGGCAAGCGUUAUCCGGAUUUAUUGGGCGUAAAGCGAGCGCAGGCGGUUUUUUAAGUCUGAUGUGAAAGCCCUCGGCUUAACCGAGGAAGCGCAUCGGAAACUGGGAAACUUGAGUGCAGAAGAGGACAGUGGAACUCCAUGUGUAGCGGUGAAAUGCGUAGAUAUAUGGAAGAACACCAGUGGCGAAGGCGGCUGUCUGGUCUGUAACUGACGCUGAGGCUCGAAAGCAUGGGUAGCGAACAGGAUUAGAUACCCUGGUAGUCCAUGCCGUAAACGAUGAAUGCUAGGUGUUGGAGGGUUUCCGCCCUUCAGUGCCGCAGCUAACGCAUUAAGCAUUCCGCCUGGGGAGUACGACCGCAAGGUUGAAACUCAAAGGAAUUGACGGGGGCCCGCACAAGCGGUGGAGCAUGUGGUUUAAUUCGAAGCAACGCGAAGAACCUUACCAGGUCUUGACAUCUUUUGAUCACCUGAGAGAUCAGGUUUCCCCUUCGGGGGCAAAAUGACAGGUGGUGCAUGGUUGUCGUCAGCUCGUGUCGUGAGAUGUUGGGUUAAGUCCCGCAACGAGCGCAACCCUUAUGACUAGUUGCCAGCAUUUAGUUGGGCACUCUAGUAAGACUGCCGGUGACAAACCGGAGGAAGGUGGGGAUGACGUCAAAUCAUCAUGCCCCUUAUGACCUGGGCUACACACGUGCUACAAUGGAUGGUACAACGAGUUGCGAGACCGCGAGGUCAAGCUAAUCUCUUAAAGCCAUUCUCAGUUCGGACUGUAGGCUGCAACU
rnacentral:rRNA from 1 species